rnacentral:lncRNA from 1 species
CUUCUUUAAUUCCUUUGUUGGUGUCUUCUUUAUCCUUUCUCUCUGUCUCUCACUCUCUCACUCUCAGUGUCACCGUUGCAAUGACUGGCUUGGCACAAAUGUCCUAUAUGCUUAAAUUCAUCAUCCUAUUUCAAUUUGGUUUAGUGAUCAUUCAACACCUGACCUGGAAGAAUUCAGAAUUCAGCGGGGGUACAUUCUCAGCUGAUGGAGAUGGUCAAGGGGUUACCACCAGUCUGUUUCUUGCGCUGAUAAUUUUUCUAGACAUUAGAUCUCACCAUUUGUUCCCAACAAAGAAAGAAAGACAGGACCACCAGACUCUACAGGUCCAGGCUCUGCAUUACCUUGAAUCAUAGCAUGUUAUUGUUGGAGAGAACUUUAAGGUCAUCCACAUCAUGGAGCUGAGGCCAAAAGGUUAGUGAACUGGUCCAAAUUAUGUAACUACUUGGUUACAAAGUUUGACCUCAGAUCUAACUGUUACCCUAGUAGACUUG